UCUCUCUGUCUCUCUGAUUUGCCUAGGUUAUUUUCAUGUGUUGCACUGGUCAUCUCUCCAUGGGAUUGAGCUGACAUGGUCAUGGCACUGAUGCAAUUACUCGGUGCAAACCUCUUCUGGUUGCUUGCAAAGGCAGAUCUCACGACCUCACAGAAGUUAUUAGUCCUCACCUGCAUUUUCUUUUGGCUUAAAAACAUCAUUCAACUUUUGCAUUCCUUGUUCAUGAUUGCACAGAUCAUGUGAACAUUCUGUUCACGUGGGGAUAGUUGUGAGCUACAGCUCAACCUUGUAGUAUUCUGUGAAUACUAUGCCCAGUUGUUUCUAAUUUUAGUAUUCACUAGUUGAAUCUGGGACACCAUCUAAUAUAGUUAUUUUUUAGGAAGGAGCUUGAAACAAGUCUACAAUAUAUAUUAUUGUUAUAAUCAUGCCAUGUGAAAUUAUAGUUAUUCUUUUUUGGUGUUAUUGUUGAUCCCUGUUUACGCUGGAGCUGCUCCAUAUUCAUUUCUCAUAGAUCCUAAUCACUAAUUAGCUAUCAAAUGGCAAGUCUUCCAGGAGAAAUUUGGCGCCUCAAAUCUUGAAGAUUAGUUCUGAUUAGAUUCAGUUGACCAGGCAUACGUCGGCCUGCCCCUUGUGCCUCGUCUCCAUCCCCAUCUUCGGCACUCCUACCACUGCUCAAGUCCGCGUCCGUGAUGCAGCUGGCGAAGUAUUAUUUUUUCUGUGUUUUCUCCAUGUGGAUUUAACCUUACAUCUCCAACGACAAACCUUUUGAUGGAGACGCAUAAUGCAGAGUUGUGCCUGGCUGACUAGGCUAGUUCCCAACAAAUUCAAGCAGCUAAGCUUGCAGGCAUGUGUACUAUAAAGGGAACCAAGUUCUGCAUAUAUUGUAUUUGCAGAGAGCGUUUUUGGCAUGUACGGUUCUAACAAAUUUGAGAUCUUCUUUCUGAUUCUCGAAGAAAUAAAGUUACUAUCCAUUAGUACAAUGAGGAAAAAAAUGAUAUGGUGUUGAAGCUAUGAUGAUGGAAGCUCUAGAGAAAGUUGAAGAUGUUUCUAACAAGACAGAGUAUAGCUGUCCUUUGGCCAGUUUGAGAAGAUAGACAAAAAGAGCAAGGCAUUAACCACGAUUCUUCUUGUUGUGAGAGAAAGAAAGUCAUGGACUCCAUGUAGCAAUUAGAAAGGACCCUGCUGCUGGAGAGCAGCAAGUAAACUCACCAAUCGUGCGCUUUUCGUUUGGAUUGCUAAGACAAAUUCAUCCAGUCUCUGCCUACUACACACGUGUGAUAUAACAGCCGACUUGGCAGAAGCAACCAGCUGGACUGGAUAACCACGGCGUGCGCGUGCUGGAGGCCUAGCGGAAGGAGCUGCACGCACGGUGUCUGCAUCUUCGGCCUCGCUGCACCCCAGAAUCGAGUCACAUCGUUGUGGGUUUGCGCUUUCUUAAUACUAUUUGUCUCAGGGUGUAUUCCAUGGUUCAGAAUACAUGUACUUUAUAAUUUACAAUGCCUGGUUUGGAUAAAAACUGUUCCUUAAGCCUGUCAGAGGUUAUUUGAUAGCACUACCCCCAGCUGCUAAUUUAUGCCUACA